rnacentral:rRNA from 1 species
GACGAACCGUGCGAACGUUGUUCGGAUUCACUGGGCUUAAAGGGCGCGUAGGCGGGGGGUCAAGUCUGAGGUGAAAUCUUUCGGCUCAACCGGAAAAGUGCCUCGGAUACUGACUCCCUCGAGGGGGGUAGGGGCAUGUGGAACUUCCGGUGGAGCGGUGAAAUGCGUAGAUAUCGGAAGGAACGCCGGUGGCGAAAGCGACGUGCUGGACCCCUUCUGACGCUGAGGAGCGAAAGCGUGGGGAGCGAACAGG